rnacentral:lncRNA from 1 species
AUGGUGGGAGACCAGCCGUGCUCCAUCAGAGGCGGUUUGGUUACAAGUCUCCGAGCAGUACCUGCUCAGCUGAAAAUUCACGCUGCCAAGUUAGAAGCCAUCGUGUACAUUCAGGAUGCAUCUCUGCUCCUGGCUAAACAAAGCCAUCAGAGGCGGUUUGGUUACAAGUCUCCGAGCAGUACCUGCUCAGCUGAAAAUUCACGCUGCCAAGUUAGAAGCCAUCGUGUACAUUCAGGAUGCAUCUCUGCUCCUGGCUAAACAAAGGUAAAUACUCCUCAUGUAAGACAUGCUAAGUAGUAG